UAUUUCACUAUGUCUUCAUGUUUUACCAGGAAAAAAUGUGGAAGCAGCACAUUGAACUCUGUGCUGAUGGUAACUUUCAGAGCCCCUUUCACAGCCCUGGGACAAAUGACUGGUGACAUUUGUGAUCACCAUGUGGUGAGCAGAGGAAACUCCCCUCUCUUCCACCCUCAUGUCAGGAGCCUGUGCUCAAGGAGCAAAGUCUGAAGUGAGUCACGGAGGUGAACAUCUCUUCCUACUAGCAGCCCAAGCCUACAUUGACCUGGAAGAGCAUUUAUAUGAGCAUGAACCAAGACAGAAGGAAGGGUAGGUAGAGGCUCCCUCUGAGCAGGAGAAAUGGUGCACCUGACAGAGAUGAAGGCAGCUGGACUCCAAACAUGCCUAAAAGUCUUCCUGAACUACAGCCUUACAGCUGCCAUCUCAAAUUGCUCUCAAAACAAGAUCUCACAUCCCAUGUUUGUGACAACUCUCCACACCAAAACAACCUGAGUUUAAGACUACUCCAUGCUGGAAACAGAUGUACCUUUGAGGCUAAUGUAAUGGACUCUGUGUUUCUGCCUUUCAUGUAAUCUUUUAUUUUUUAAAAUGUAGAAGCGCUACACCACAUGUGUGUGAAAUGAGACUGUGUGUCAAUGAAAGGCAUAAAAAAUUAUUCCAGAAAAAGGCUCUGACUGGAAUAACAACGGAGAAGCCAAGGGGCUCAUGGUUCUAUAACACGUUCAUUCAGAAAAUCACAGGGCAGUGUGACAGCUGGAGUGAGGAAAGACUAGUGGCAAUAUUUUUUUAAGAAUUACAUGAUGAAAAAAUAAUAAUAAACAUUAACAAUGUUUUUUGGUUGAUUUUUUUUUCUUUUUUCUUUCCCAUGACAUAAACAAUAGUACUCUGGUCAUAAGCCAAAACCUGACAAAGGUCCAAGGUUGAAAAGGGUUUCUUUGAGCCUGUCUUCCUGGUAUAAUUAUUGUAGGUUCAGAGGAACCAGAUCUGGAGUGUUGUAAACUCAACACAAUGAACUUGACAGACAGCCAGAUUUCUGUUUUCAGCCAGUUUAGGGUUACUAUAAUCUCAUUAUUAUGCUUGAAAGACGACAAGUAAUAGAAUC
rnacentral:lncRNA from 1 species